rnacentral:rRNA from 1 species
GGAGUUAGCCGGUGCUUCUUCUGCGAGUAACGUCACAGAUGUAAGGUAUUAACUUACACCCUUUCCUCCUCGCUGAAAGUGCUUUACAACCCGAAGGCCUUCUUCACACACGCGGCAUGGCUGCAUCAGGGUUUCCCCCAUUGUGCAAUAUUCCCCACUGCUGCCUCCCGUAGGAGUCUGGGCCGUGUCUCAGUCCCAGUGUGGCUGAUCAUCCUCUCAGACCAGCUAGGGAUCGUCGCCUAGGUGAGCCUUUACCUCACCUACUAGCUAAUCCCACCUGGGCUUAUCCAUCAGCGCAAGGCCCGAAGGUCCCCUGCUUUCCCCCGUAGGGCGUAUGCGGUAUUAGCAGUCGUUUCCAACUGUUAUCCCCCACAAAUGGGCAAAUUCCCAGGCAUUACUCACCCGUCCGCCGCUCGUCAUCUUCAAAAGCAAGCUUUUGAAAUGUUACCGCUCGACUUGCAUGUGUUAGGCCUGCCGCCAGCGUUCAAUCUGAGCCAGUNACACACUNANAGAGACGGCGGUCGCGACGACGC